UCCCUGGCAGUCCAGUGCUUAAGACCCUGCACUUCCACUGCAGGGGGCACAGGUUCAAUCCCUGGUUAGAGAA
rnacentral:tRNA from 1 species